UGCAGCAACAUUGCCUGGGUGUGAGGCUUCAUGAAACACUGGAGGUAACCUGACCUGAUGGUGCUGAUCUCCUCUCCAGCUCAGGGAAUGAUCUUCUGAGGGAAGAGCUGGGAGUAAAUGUGAAGGUGAAAACUUGGCCACUUUUACCUGCAGGCUGGAACCAGCUGCUUUCAACUUGUCUCUGAAAAUACAGUCUUGAGCUUGUCUGAAUCUAUCUGUUUAUAGCGUAUUCCAGGCAGGUGUUCUUUCUGCAUAUUUUCUGUUUCUUUUCCACUCUGUGUCAGAUGUUUUUUUUCUUACCUUGGGCAUUAGAAGAGACUAUAUCUCUGUAGUCCAAGACUGGAAUAUAUCAAACACAGAAAUCUGAGUCACUAACCUAUUAUUUAACACCUCUGAUUUAUGUCAUUGUAUAGAAUGUUACAAAUUCUGUAUGAAACUGGCACAAUAUCCUGUCUAAACAAUAUCUUGUCCUAAGAAAUCACCCCUAAUAAAAAGACCUGUAUCCAGCUUCAUCUUUGAUAAACAACUGUUUUGUAUUUAAGGUAGUAAUGAAAAUAGUGACCUUA